GGUGGGGUUCCCGAGCGGCCAAAGGGAGCAGACUGUAAAUCUGCCGUCAUCGACUUCGAAGGUUCGAAUCCUUCCCCCACCAUCA
rnacentral:tRNA from 8 species